UGGAGGGGUCAGCGAGGUGGUGAAGAAUAGUUUUGAUGGUGGAGUCAGAGGCUUGCAUGUCAGCAAUGUCAUUAGUGGAGAUUUGAGGAGCCAGCGUAAGCGGCUGUGAGGUGGUUAUUGUGGUGUGG